rnacentral:rRNA from 1 species
GACGAACGCUGGCGCGUGCUUAACACAUGCAAGUCGAGCGGUAAGGCCCUUUCGGGGGUACACGAGCGGCGAACGGGUGAGUAACACGUGGGUGACCUGCCCUCAGCUCUGGGAUAAGCCUGGGAAACUGGGUCUAAUACUGGAUAUGACUCCACGGUGCAUGUCGUGGGGUGGAAAGCCUUGUGCGGCUGAGGAUGGGCCCGCGGCCUAUCAGCUUGUUGGUGGGGUGANGGCCUACCAAGGCGACGACGGGUAGCCGGCCUGAGAGGGCGACCGGCCACACUGGGACUGAGACACGGCCCAGACUCCUACGGGAGGCAGCAGUGGGGAAUCUUGCGCAAUGGGCAAAGCCUGACGCAGCGACGCCGCGUGAGGGAUGACGGCCUGGU